rnacentral:rRNA from 1 species
GGGCCCGCACAAGCGGUGGAGUAUGUGGUUUAAUUCGAUGCAACGCGAAGAACCUUACCAGGGUUUGACAUCCUGCGAAUCUCUUGGAAACAGGAGAGUGCCUUCGGGAACGCAGUGACAGGUGGUGCAUGGCUGUCGUCAGCUCGUGUCGUGAGAUGUUGGGUUAAGUCCCGCAACGAGCGCAACCCACGUCUUUAGUUGCCAGCGGUUCGGCCGGGGACUCUAGAGAAACUGCCAGCGUAAGCUGUGAGGAAGGUGGGGAUGACGUCAAAUCAUCACGGCCCUUACAUCCUGGGCCACACACGUGCUACAAUGCUACGGACAGAGGGCAGCAAGUUCGCGAGGACAAGCAAAUCCCAUAAACCGUGGCUCAGUUCAGAUCGUAGGCUGCAACUCGCCUACGUGAAGGCGGAAUCGCUAGUAAUCG